rnacentral:lncRNA from 1 species
CUUAAGCUCUAGGUUGUGUUUGAUUUUGUAAUCGAAGCAGCUUUUCAGGGAGGUGGCUCUUCAGGCUGCUAAUGACAGUUUUAUUUGCUUUUGCAGGGCAAGCUGGAGCUGGCCAGUAGUCCAAGUCCUCAAAGUGCAAGGACACCAGCAAGAAAUGGGCCAGAAGGAAGCACAAGGGAGUUUGAUGCAGUCCCUUAUGUUUGUCUUGAAAUGCUUGGAAGGAAUGGCUACUUUGGCAACAAUACUUCGGUGCAGGCAGUGCUAUCCUUAAAUUUUUUCUGCUUAAGAAAGUGUUCAAAGAACUUGAUGCUUUCAGUGGUGGCUUUCUGACCUUGUGGGUACAGCUUGGAGCUAUGCUGCAGAACAUCCCCUGUGAGCUGAUAUGGAUUUCUUUUUUCCUAGAGGGAAACUCAGCUGUGCCUGGGGAAAACUAGAGCCACUACUGCAGACAGACAGAGAGACACGGCAGAAAGACAAGCAUUUUGAGAGCACAGUUAAUUAUGAAGUUACCAGGACGUUUUCCAUCUGUUUCUGCAAUGAAGCCUUUCAGUCAUGAACCUACAGGAAUGAGGGGAGUUCUUCAAUUGUGGCUUGUGAACAAGACUUCAGUGAGUUUGAGUCUAUGGGAGGAUCCUGGAUUAUUCCACUGUUUGAACCAAGUGAUGAUAAAAACUGGGCACAGUGCCAUUGCAAUAUAUACUGCAUCCUGAAGGACACUUUUGGAAGACUGUGGUGUACGAUCAUAUCAUAUUCACAUUCAGACUUGAAAUGAGCAGCAGUUUGCAUUUUUGCCUGUUUUACAUCAGUCCCUUUGAAAACUGAUUACCAGGUCCAAAGUGCUGCAAAACUGCAAAACCAGAACAGAUACUUCAGAAACUGCACUUCUACAACACAGUAUUCUUACAGUGAUAUUAGUGUACAGGAAAGGCACUUAAUCUCUUAAGUUUAGAUCUUCAAAAAUCAGCCUUUGUUUUGCAGCAGCUAUCAAUAAAGAAUGUGUGUCUGUUUCUCUGUUGCA